UGUUGCUACUACAGCAGACUGCUGGUCAGACAGGCAGCGCGGUUACUUGGGGGUCACCUGCCACUGGAUAGACAAAGUCAUUAGAAAGAUGUUCAGCAGCCUUAGCUUGCAGACGUAUAAAAGUUUCACACACAUUCGAUGUCCUCGCUGCAGCAUUGGAGGAAAUACAUUCAGAGUACCAGAUUAGACAAAAGAUUUUGAGGACAACUACAGAUAGUGACUCAAACUUUUUGAAGGCCUUUCGAGUAAAAGGAGAAACUCGGGGGAGGAGAAACAAGAAGACCUCAUGGAUGCACAGGAUGAUGAAUCUGACGAAAGUGACUCGGCGGUGGAGUGCCAAGAUGUGUCAUCUAUUUUAGAGGAGGACAAUGGCCUGGAAUACCAACUUCCCAGACAUCAAAAGUGUGCAUGCCAUCUAUUCAAUCUUAUUUCUACUGUUGAUGAGAGACUGUCAUGUUCAGCAUUUGCAAAAUGCAGUGCGCUGUGGAAUAAAACGAGCAGGUCAACCAUGGCUUUUGAAACUGCAAUGUGAGUGUAAAUUGCAGUUCCUGCAUCCCAAUCAAACCCACUGGAACUCACUGUUCCUUGCUGUAGAAAGGGUGGUGUGCAUCCAGAGGAAACAAGGAGAACAAGCUAUCUGAAUCAUUUGCUCAGCAUUAAAGAUAAAAAUGCUGAAUCCAGCUGAAAUGAAGCCUGUUGCCAUGGCCCUCAACAUACUCCAAGGGGAAUCGUCAGUCCAUAGGGGUUUUCUGCUUCCAACUCUUUAGCAACUGCUGGACAAGCUGAAGAGGCUGGAGUCAAGCUGUAAAGUCUGUCAACCCCUCCUUUAGGCCCUAAAACAUGGCAUCCAGAAAGGUUUUGGAGAGGUCACGAAAGAACCAGAGCUGAUUGCUGCAUCUAUACUACUUCCAAAAUUCAGAACCUCCUGGAUAACAGAGGAAAGCAACUUGAAAGCUGGGCUUGACUACAUAAAUCAACUGGAAACCAACAUGGACAACAAUGUCCUCUCUUACAGCAGCACCCAAUCAGAUGAAGAUGACUUCUUUGCAUCCUUGAAGAUAGUAGUCUCACAAGAAGGAGAGCUGGAGAGUUACCUUUCAUGUCCGUCAACUGGAGAUCACUGAACAGCCGUGGUCGACUGUGUGCACGAUGGGUUUUACGAGGAUGCUUAUAUCGGCCAAACUCUUCUAGCUGACUGAGGCUAUCUGGCAGCAGCAUGUGGGAGAGUUCUUCCUGGCUGGUCUCCUCAAGCUCAGGGGGCCCUGAUGUCCAUUCCGUCGCUGGCUCUGAGCUUCCUUCAGUGGUAAUCACAGUGGUACCCUCCACUUCAUACCAGCUCCUUGGAUAAGAACAUGUCGAGACCAAGUCAUCAAACGUUUGGCAUGCAGUAAUGUUUUAUGUGAUGCUCUCAAUGUCUAUAUAUAUAUAUAUAUAUAUAAUUUUUUCCAAAGUUAGAGGAAUGUUCUGAGUUCAUCACAAGUUAAGCUCAAUUGAAAGCAUUUUUGUCAAUGUUUAUUACCACAAAAUUUUUUGACUCGUCCCUUGUUUAUUU